CGCGCCCUGGGCUGGCCCUGCUGGGUGGACAGGAGAGGAGCAAAACGCAACAAAGACGGGAUUAAUUACUCGGAGGCCGCGCCCCCUCCGAAGAAGGCCCCACCCUGCCCCGGCCUCACCCCUCCCCGAAAUAAUUCGAGGAAAUAUUCCGCGAAUGCUGGUCUUUCUGGGCGGGCGUCUCCCGUCUGUUUCUUCCCAUCUUCCCCCUUAUCAUCCUGGGACUGGAUAAUUCUUGAAUAGUCUGGGAGGUAGCAGGGAACCCGAGUUCGGAGCCUCGACCAGAACCUCCAGACGGGAAAUUGGAGCAGGUGGUGUCGUUCCAGGACGCUGAGGACCACCUCCUCCCCUAACGCACAGCCCAACGAUCCUAAAAGGAACAGAGCUUGAGCCGGGGGCCACCCCCCCGUCCUACCGGAGUUCUGAGGUGCGGUCAGGCGCGGAGAGCGGACGCCCAGCGCCAGAUUCUGUGGGCUCCGGAGUUCAGGCCCACUGAGCCGCAGCUGAGCACAGGCGGGGCAGGAAAAAGGAUGAGGUAAGUUUGUUCCUGUCAAUUGGGAACCCCCUCAACCACUUCCAUUCCCCAAAUACCUGCGCUGCUACCGAUGCCUCUUGGAGACCAAGGAGUUAGGGUGCCUUCUGGGAUCUGACAUCUGCCUCACCCCAGCUGGCAGCAGCUGCAUCACUCUCCACAAAAAGAACACUGAAUAGCUUCUACCCUAUCAAGGUGCGCAGCUUUGACGGGGACCCUCCAGAUCUCCAGGUGCCCUUGCCUGUCCUCAAGCUGUCUGCUUCCGCAUCUGUCUGCAGUUACUGCUGGUGUUGCUCUUCUCCUGCAUCCUCCACGGCUUCUUCAGUCUCCUUCAUGGAGCGUUUUCUCUCUGACCCUUAGUGGUUCAUGUUCACCAAGGCAGCGGUUCUGACGUCAUGGUGAGUGACUGCCGAAGUAAGGAGCAGAUGAGUGAUUGUUCAAAUACCCGAACUUCUCCGGUGUCUGGCUUCUGGAUAUUCUCUCAAUACUGCUUCCUGGAUUUCUGCAAUGACCCUCAAAACAGAGGGCUCUAUACUCCUUAGUGUGACUGCAGCAAACUUUGGUGUAAAAUUCCACCAGUUUCCAGCCACCUUCCUGACUUCUAUCUGGGCUUGGCCAGGACUUCUAGUCCCUCACACCAGCCCUCCUUGCCUCCCUCCAGCCACUGGACCCCAGCCUUGGCUCUUCCUCUUGGUUGACGCCCUUCAGCACACUUACUGCUACUCUGUACCCCCAGCCCUACUGCCCACCAGGUUUCCUCUCUUGUCCCCUAGUCCCUGGAUGUUUCUCCCAAAUAAAUUUGUGUGUAAACUGUU
rnacentral:sRNA from 1 species